AAUCUAGAUAUUGACACUGAUGCCGAUUUUAUUAAGUUCACAUGUAUCUAUGCAUUAUCCAAUUAAAUUAAUUGGAUUAUGAAGAAAAUAUUUCUUAAGCCUAUUAGUAUUUGAAAACGAGUUGGACAUCAGACUCAUGUCAUAGAUUAGUCAAGCUGCAUUUUCCUUAAGUUAUAUGAAAACGAGUAUAGCACCCUCGGCUCGAAAGUCGGAAGCUUUGAUGUGUAGUAGGCUCCAUCAGACUACAUAACUGUCACCGGUAGAUAUGAAAAGUGGGAGUGGAUCUCGGUAGGCUGGCCAGUGCUGGAUUUCCGAAAUUGCACGUGACCGCAAUGGCUGCAGCUCUCUGCUGAGCCUUGCAACUUGCGCUGUUCCGUGAAAACCCCUUUCUUUACCGAAAACUGGCACAGCGCUUGUCAAGCGCACGCAGACUGACAAAGCAAACGUCCUUAUAUAUUUCCAUGGUUCGUUGAACGGCAGAGAAGCGACUUCGAAGAUGCUCCCGGCAAAACAUCAUCGGUUCGGUUCCGAAUUCCACCAACCAACACGUCGGUAGGAGGAGUCAACAGAUGUGUAAUUCCCUUUGAUGGCUGACCAUUGAUUCAAAGGCCAAUAGCGACACCCUGACAAGGCUGCUUUCUGUGGGGCUGGAGAUUGGUCACCGGGCCAGAGGGAAGACGACAUUGCCCAGAUGGAGAGCCAUCAAAGUGACGGGGGUCGAUAUGGCCAAUGCAUCUGACCGUGG